CAGCAGCCGCGGGAAUACAGAGGGUGCAAGCGUUAAUCGGAAUUACUGGGCGUAAAGCGUGCGUAGGUGGUUUGUUAAGUUGGAUGUGAAAUCCCCGGGCUCAACCUGGGAACUGCAUCCAAAACUGGCAAGCUAGAGUAUGGUAGAGGGUGGUGGAAUUUCCUGUGUAGCGGUGAAAUGCGUAGAUAUAGGAAGGAACACCAGUGGCGAAGGCGACCACCUGGACUGAUACUGACACUGAGGUGCGAAAGCGUGGGGAGCAAACAGGAUUAGAGACCCCAGUAGUCCCUGUCUCUUAUAC
rnacentral:rRNA from 1 species